rnacentral:rRNA from 1 species
UACCAGCACCCCGAGUGGUCGGGACGUUUAUUGGGCCUAAAGCAUCCGUAGCCGGUUCUACAAGUCUUCCGUUAAAUCCAACUGCUUAACAGGUGGGCUGCGGAAGAUACUAUAGAGCUAGGAGGCGGGAGAGGCAAGCGGUACUCGAUGGGUAGGGGUAAAAUCCGUUGAUCCAUUGAAGACCACCAGUGGCGAAGGCGGCUUGCCAGAACGCGCUCGACGGUGAGGGAUGAAAGCUGGGGGAGCAAACCGGAU